CUUACGACGGUGUCAUUACAGCAAUAGAGACGUUAUCAGAGGAAAAUUUGACAUUAGCGUUUGUGAAAAAUAGAUUGCUAGAUCAGGAAAUUAAAAUUAAAAAUGACCAUAAUGACACAAGUCGGAAAGCUUUAAAUACGGUUGUGCAAAAUAGAAACUACAGUUUUAAAAACAAUUCAUUUAAAAAUCGUGUAACGAAGCAAAAUAAAACAUUUAAGAAAAAUUCUAAGAAUAGGGUUAGAUGUCACCACUGACAAAGAGGGCCACGUAAAAAGGGAUUGCUACCACUAUAAAAGAAUAAUAAAUGAAAGAAAUAAUAAAAAUAACGAUAAACAAGCUAAAACCGCAACAUCACAUGGCAUUGCAUUCAUGGUAAAAGGGGUGAAAGAAGACCCGGUGAUAAAUAAAUGUGGAUUUAUCCUCGAUUCCGGUGCAAGUGAUCAUCUAAUAAAUGAUGAGUCGCUAUACACCGAUAGUGUGAAGUUGGUGCCGCCACUGAAGAUCGCUGUGGCCAAGCAAGGCGAAUAUAUUUACGCAUCUAAGCGUGGCAUCGUACGUUUGCGCAAUGACCACGAAAUAACACUGGAGGAUGUGCUGUAUUCCGAGCAGGCUGCUGGAAACUUGAUGUCGGUGAAGCGCCUACAAGAGGCAGGAAUGUCAAUAAAAUUUGACUAAAAAUGGAUUGACGGUGGUCGAGAAUUCAGAGAAACAACUUGCUGACAUCUUUACAAAGCCACUACCUACUGCAAAAUUUUUGGAAUUACGUAAUGAAUUGGGAUAACUGCAAGAUGACGGAUCUGUUGAUUGCUGAUGCUGAAGUUUUUUUUUGUUGUCACAUUUGAAUUGAAAUGUUUUUUUUAUUAGUUCUUAAAAACAUGAAGUUAUAAAAAUUUAAUUGUAUGUUAACAUAUAUGUAAGAGUGAUCUGAUCGGGUUUUUCUGGGUUUUCCCCGUAUCCUUGCAGCGAAUGCUGGAUCACAUAAUUAUUCCCAGAAUGCACACCGCACACACUAGAAUAAGUAUAUGAGAAUUACAAAAGAUUGCUAUAUGUUAAAUUUA